rnacentral:rRNA from 1 species
UUUGACCUCAAAUCAGGUAGGAAUACCCGCUGAACGUAAGCAUAUCAAUA